UUGAUAUGUAUGGGAAUGAAUUUGGAUUUGGAAAAGGAGUGGCACUUAGAAGUGGAUAUGCACAUAAGUUUGAUGGGAAAGUGAGUUUAUAUGAAGGAAUUGAAGGUGAUGGUAGCAUGGAUUUGGAAGUGUGCCUUUUACCUGAGGAAUUGCCUCAGCGGGAAAACUUCUUGAAAACAGCCUUGGUUGGGCAGCUUGGGAAAUGCAUGAAGCUGUGGUGAAUCAUAAGAACAAAGAUAUUCGCGAAUGGGUUGAAAAAUUGGAAAGUGGUAUGAUUUAUCAGUUGGGAUUUUUCGAUCCUAGUAGCGUUAUGAUGGGAAGUUCUCCAAGAUUUGAUAUGUAUGGGAAUGAAUUUGGAUUGGGAAAAGGAGUGGCACUUAGAAGUGGAUAUGCACACAAGUUUGAUGGGAAAGUGAGUUUGUAUGAAGGGAUUGAAGGUGAUGGUAGUAUGGAUUUGGAAGUGUGUCUUUUACCUGACUUCAUGGCUUCUCUUGAAACUGAUAAGGAGUUUAUGGAUAGUUUGUCAAGUUAAUUUAGGUGGUGUUGUAUUUGGAGAACAUGUGUUAUUUCAUAAUUGAUGUAUUGUUAAUGUUGG
rnacentral:lncRNA from 1 species